CCUCUCUCAGGGUUGCACCUGGUGAGUUCCCAGUACUCUACCAGUCUCGACUAUAGGGGGGAGAGUUAAGCAGAGGCCUACCCAUUCCAUUCCUAGCUUGGCCAGUGGCUAGCGAGUGGAAGGCAAUCUGCUACAAAC
rnacentral:snoRNA from 1 species